GCUGGGAGUCUCGAGUUUGUUGGGAAGUUUCUGCUUUAUCAGGACCAAAAGUUCACUGACAGGAUGAGGGAUUGAAGCCUUCGUUCGUGGCCCUGACUUCAGAGUCUCCUUGAAAGGAGUGGGUGCGGAGCAGAAGUCAGGCCUCACCUGAAGGCCUGCUGGGCCAGUUCCAUUCCCAUGGCCUCUUAGGAGUGGCCGCUGUGUCAGCCCAGGGGGCCAGGCUGGGAGCACCACACCCUUCUCUGUGCAGUUGCCCUGGAGUACCAGGGGAGCUCUGAGAAGGAAGGAAGUUGGUGGCGAGCAGUAACUGUGUCCCCUAGAAUGACCUGACUGGAGAGCACUCCUGCAUUAUGCUGAAGACACUGGCUGAUGAGGAUGAGGCGGAGCGGGGAGCUUGGCUGGCAGCAUUUUGGACCGAUUUCCGAAGACGGUUCCUGGCCCUGCUGUCUUACCAGUUCAGCACCUUCUCUCCUGCCCUGUCUCUGAACAUCAUUCAGAACAGGAACAUAGCGAAGUCAGCCCCACCAGUCCUAGGCCGGGAGCAUCUGGAGGCCCUCUUCCUCCCCUAUGACCUGAAGCGGCUGGAGAUGUACUCUCGGAACAUGGUCGAUUAUCACCUCAUCAUGGACCUUAUCCCAGCCAUUUCCCGCCUGUACUUCCUCAACCAGCUAGGGGACCUGGCAUUGUCAGCCGCCCAGUCG
rnacentral:lncRNA from 1 species